rnacentral:rRNA from 1 species
CGGGCGGCAGCUUACACAUGCAGUCGAGCGGUAGCACAGGGGAGCUUGCUCCCUGGGUGACGAGCGGCGGACGGGUGAGUAAUGUCUGGGAAACUGCCUGAUGGAGGGGGAUAACUACUGGAAACGGUAGCUAAUACCGCAUAACGUCGCAAGACCAAAGAGGGGGACCUUCGGGCCUCUUGCCAUCAGAUGUGCCCAGAUGGGAUUAGCUAGUAGGUGGGGUAAUGGCUCACCUAGGCGACGAUCCCUAGCUGGUCUGAGAGGAUGACCAGCCACACUGGAACUGAGACACGGUCCAGACUCCUACGGGAGGCAGCAGUGGGGAAUAUUGCACAAUGGGCGCAAGCCUGAUGCAGCCAUGCCGCGUGUGUGAAGAAGGCCUUCGGGUUGUAAAGCACUUUCAGCGAGGAGGAAGGUGGUGAACUUAAUACGUUCAUCAAUUGACGUUACUCGCAGAAGAAGCACCGGCUAACUCCGUGCCAGCAGCCGCGGUAAUACGGAGGGUGCAAGCGUUAAUCGGAAUUACUGGGCGUAAAGCGCACGCAGGCGGUUUGUUAAGUCAGAUGUGAAAUCCCCGGGCUCAACCUGGGAACUGCAUUUGAAACUGGCAAGCUAGAGUCUCGUAGAGGGGGGUAGAAUUCCAGGUGUAGCGGUGAAAUGCGUAGAGAUCUGGAGGAAUACCGGUGGCGAAGGCGGCCCCCUGGACGAAGACUGACGCUCAGGUGCGAAAGCGUGGGGGAGCAAACAGGAUUAGAUACCCUGGUAGUCCACGCUGUAAACGAUGUCGAUUUGGAGGUUGUGCCCUUGAGGCGUGGCUUCCGGAGCUAACGCGUUAAAUCGACCGCCUGGGGAGUACGGCCGCAAGGUUAAAACUCAAAUGAAUUGACGGGGGCCCGCACAAGCGGUGGAGCAUGUGGUUUAAUUUCGAUGCAACGCGAAGAACCCUUACCUACUCUUGACAUCCAGAGAACUUUCCAGAGAUGGAUUGGUGCCCUUCGGGAACUCUGAGACAGUGCUGCAUGGCUGUCGUCAGCUCGUGUUGUGGAAAUGUGGUAAGUCCCCGCACGAGCGCAUCCCUUAUCCCUUUGUUGGCCAGCGGGUUCGGCCGGGGGAACCCUCAAAGGGAAGAAACUGG